CUACGGGGUGCUCCAGUCGAGAAUCUUCCGCAAUGGACGAAAGUCUGACGGAGCGACGCCGCGUGCGGGAUGAAGGCCUUCGGGUUGUAAACCGCUGUCAGUGGGGAGGAAAUGCAUCAGGGUUCUCCCUGGUGUUUGACCGAUCCGCAGAGGAAGCGCAGGCUAAGUUCGUGCCAGCAGCCGCGGUAACACGAACUGCGCGAACGUUAUUCGGAAUCACUGGGCUUAAGGAGUUCGUAGGCGGCCUUUCAAGUCGGGUGUGAAAUCCCUCGGCUCAACCGAGGAAUUGCGCCUGAUACUGUUGGGCUUGAGGGGGAUAGGGGUGAGCGGAACUGAUGGUGGAGCGGUGAAAUGCGUUGAUAUCAUCAGGAACACCGGUGGCGAAGGCGGCUCACUGGAUCUCUUCUGACGCUGAGGAACGAAAGCUAGGGGAGCGAACGGGAUUAGAUACCCUCGUAGUC
rnacentral:rRNA from 1 species